rnacentral:rRNA from 1 species
AUUGAACGCUGGCGGCAGGCCUAACACAUGCAAGUCGAGCGAGCGGCGGACGGGUGAGUAAUGUCUGGGAAACUGCCUGAUGGAGGGGGAUAACUACUGGAAACGGUAGCUAAUAACGCAUACCAUCAGAUGUGCCCAGAUGGGAUUAGCUAGUAGGUGGGGUAACGGCUCACCUAGGCGACGAUCCCUAGCUGGUCUGAGAGGAUGACCAGCCACACGUGAACUGAGACACGGUCCAGACUCCUACGGGUGGCAGCAUGUGGGAAUAUUGCACAAUGGGCGCAAGCCUUAUGCAGCCAUGCCGCGUGGUUGAAGAAGGGCUUCGGGUUGUAAAGCACUUUCAGCGGGGAGGCGUUACCCGCAGAAGAAGCACCGGCUAACUCCGUGCCAGCAACCGCGGUAAUUC